AUUGAACGCUGGCGGCAGGCCUAACACAUGCAAGUCGAGCGGAGCGGCGGACGGGUGAGUAAUGCCUAGGAAUCUGCCUGGUAGUGGGGGAUCCCGUACGGAAACGGGCGCUCAUACCGCAUGCGAUCAGAUCGGCCUCGGUCGUAUUAGCUAGUUGGUGGGGUAAAAGCCUACCAAGGCGAAGAUCCGUAGCUGGCCUGAGAGGAUGAUCAGUCACACUGGAACUGAGACACGGUCCAGACUCCUACGGGAGGCAGCAGUGGGGAAUAUUGGACAAUGGGCGAAAGCCUGACCCAGCAAUGCCGCGUGGGUGAAGAAGGUCUUCGGAUUGUAAAGCACUUUAAGUUGGGAGGCGUUACCAACCGAAUAAGCACCGGCUAACUUCGUGCCAGCAGCCGCGGUAAUUC
rnacentral:rRNA from 1 species